AUGCAAGAGACAGUCAGAAAGACAAAUUAUUUUCAGGAAUAUUGAGAGCAUAUGGAAAUAAAACUGAAGUCAGGAUUAAGAGACUGACAUUCAGAGUGUAAAAUCACAUUUAAUCCUAAAAACAGCAUUCUCAUGCAUCAACUAUACCUUCAUAGGAGUCCUUUUAUGGAUGGACUCAUUUCCUAACAAGGAUGAUAGAAGUGGAGUGAAGUGGAAAAACGAAGAAGAAGAAAAGCAAUAGAGACAUAUAGUACAGGGCGGUUGGGACGAAGAAAAAGCCAACAAAAUGGACCAGAAGAGCAGAGCAACUCAG